rnacentral:rRNA from 1 species
UGGAUGGGUAGGGGAGCGUCGCGUGGCGAGGGAAGCGGCGGAGUGAUCCAGCCGUGGACGCCACGCGAGUGAGAAUGCAGGCAUGAGUAGCGAGAGGGGAGUGAGAACCUCCCCCGCCGGAAGACCAAGGGUUCCUGGGCCAGGCUAAUCCGCCCAGGGUGAGUCGGGACCUAAGGCGAGGCCGACAGGCGUAGUCGAUGGACAACGGGUUGAUAUUCCCGUACCCGCGAAGGAACGCCCAUGCCGAACCCAGCGAUGCUAACCGCCCGAACACCGGCCGUGAUCCUUUCGAGGUAGCGGCCGGGACUAGCGCGGGAUCCGGACUGGUAGUAGGCAAGCGAUGGGGUGACGCAGGAAGGUAGUCCCGCCGGUGAGUGGUAGUACCGGUGCAAGGGUGUGGCCCGCAGACCAGGCAAAUCCGGUCUGCACACAGGGUGAGGCCCGACGCAUAGCCGAUUGAGGCGAAUGGGAUGAUCCUAUGCUGCCGAGAAAAGCCUCUAGCGAGUUCCCAGCGGCCCGUACCCCAAACCAACUCAGGUGGUCAGGUAGAGAAUACCGAGGCGAUCGAGCGAACUGUGGUUAAGGAACUCGGCAAAAUGCCCCCGUAACUUCGGGAGAAGGGGGGCCGCUUUCCGUGAAGGCACUUGCUGCCGGCAGCGGAGGGCGGCCGCAGAGACCAGUGAGAAGCGACUGUUUACUAAAAACACAGGUCCGUGCGAAGUCGUAAGACGAUGUAUACGGACUGACGCCUGCCCGGUGCUGGAACGUUAAGGGGACGGGUUAGGCCCUUCGGGGCCGAAGCUCAGAACUCAAGCGCCAGUAAACGGCGGUGGUAACUAUAACCAUCCUAAGGUAGCGAAAUUCCUUGUCGGGUAAGUUCCGACCUGCACGAAUGGCGUAACGACUUCUCAGCUGUCUCAACCACAGGCUCGGCGAAAUUGCACUACGAGUAAAGAUGCUCGUUACGCGCGGCAGGACGGAAAGACCCCGGGACCUUUACUAUAGCUUGAUAUUGGUGUUCGGUUCGGCUUGUGUAGGAUAGGUGGGAGACUGUGAAGCGGGCACGCCAGUGUCCGUGGAGUCGCCGUUGAAAUACCACUCUGGUCGAAUUGGAUGUCUAACCUCGGUCCGUGAUCCGGAUCAGGGACAGUGUCAGGUGGGUAGUUUAACUGGGGCGGUUGCCUCCCAAAAUGUAACGGAGGCGCCCAAAGGUUCCCUCAGCCUGGUUGGCAACCAGGUGUCGAGUGCAAGUGCACAAGGGAGCUUGACUGUGAGACCGACGGGUCGAGCAGGAGCGAAAGCUGGGACUAGUGACCCGGCACCGGCAGGUGGAAGCGGUGUCGCUCAACGGAUAAAAGGUACCCCGGGGAUAACAGGCUGAUCUUCCCCAAGAGUCCAUAUCGACGGGAUGGUUUGGCACCUCGAUGUCGGCUCGUCGCAUCCUGGGGCUGGAGUAGGUCCCAAGGGUUGGGCUGUUCGCCCAUUAAAGCGGUACGCGAGCUGGGUUUAGAACGUCGUGAGACAGUUCGGUCCCUAUCCGCCGUGCGCGUAAGAGACUUGAGAAGAGCUGUCCCUAGUACGAGAGGACCGGGACGGACGAACCUCUGGUGUGCCAGUUGUACCGCCAGGUGCACGGCUGGUUGGCUACGUUCGGCAGGGAUAACCGCUGAAAGCAUCUAAGCGGGAAGCUCGCUUCAAGAUGAGGUCUCUCACCGGGUCAACCGGGUAAGGCCCCCGCCCAGACCAGCGGGUUGAUAGGCCGGAGGUGGAAGCGCCGCGAGGCGUGGAGCUGACCGGUACUAAUAGGCCGAGGACUUGACCAC